UACCAACUCCAGGCUCAAGGACAGACA
rnacentral:misc_RNA from 1 species